rnacentral:rRNA from 1 species
AGAUUGAACGCUAGCGGCAUGCCUAACACAUGCAAGUCGAACGGUAACAGGCCCUUCGGGGUNCUGACGAGUGGCGGACGGUGAGUAAUGCGUAGGAAUCUACCCACGAGUGGGGGAUAGCCCGGAGAAAAUCCGGAUUUAAUACCGACAUAUGCCCUACGGGGGUAAAGCGGGGGAUCGUAAGACCUCGCGCUGGUGGAUGAGCCUACGUCCGAUUAGUUAGUUGGUGGGGUAAAGGCCUUACCAAGGCUACGNUCGGUAGCUGGUCUGAGAGGACGACCAGGCCACACUGGGACUGAGACACGGCCCAGACUCCUACGGGGA